AUGCAGUCGAACGAUGAACCACUUCGGUGGGGAUUAGUGGCGAACGGGUGAGUAACACGUGGGCAAUCUGCCCUGCACUCUGGGACAAGCCCUGGAAACGGGGUCUAAUACCGGAUAUUGACCUUCACGGGCAUCUGUGAGGUUCGAAAGCUCCGGCGGUGCAGGAUGAGCCCGCGGCCUAUCAGCUUGUUGGUGAGGUAAUGGCUCACCAAGGCGACGACGGGUAGCCGGCCUGAGAGGGCGACCGGCCACACUGGGACUGAGACACGGCCCAGACUCCUACGGGAGGCAGCAGUGGGGAAUAUUGCACAAUGGGCGAAAGCCUGAUGCAGCGACGCCGCGUGAGGGAUGACGGCCUUCGGGUUGUAAACCUCUUUCAGCAGGGAAGAAGCGAAAGUGACGGUACCUGCAGAAGAAGCGCCGGCUAACUACGUGCCAGCAGCCGCGGUAAUACGUAGGGCGCAAGCGUUGUCCGGAAUUAUUGGGCGUAAAGAGCUCGUAGGCGGCUUGUCACGUCGGUUGUGAAAGCCCGGGGCUUAACCCCGGGUCUGCAGUCGAUACGGGCAGGCUAGAGUUCGGUAGGGGAGAUCGGAAUUCCUGGUGUAGCGGUGAAAUGCGCAGAUAUCAGGAGGAACACCGGUGGCGAAGGCGGAUCUCUGGGCCGAUACUGACGCUGAGGAGCGAAAGCGUGGGGGAGCGAACAGGAUUAGAUACCCUGGUAGUCCACGCCGUAAACGGUGGGCACUAGGUGUGGGCAACAUUCCACGUUGUCCGUGCCGCAACCUAACGCAUUAAGUGCCCCGCCUUGGGGAGUAC
rnacentral:rRNA from 2 species